rnacentral:rRNA from 1 species
UACGGAGGUCUCAAGCGUUGUUCGGAUUCAUUGGGCGUAAGGGUGCGCAGGCGGUUGGAAAAGUCUGAUGUGAAAUACCGGGGCUCAACCCCGGAACGGCAUUGGAUACUAUUCGACUAGAGGACUGGAGAGGAUAUCGGAAUUCUCGGUGUAGCAGUGAAAUGCGUAGAUAUCGAGAGGAAGACCAGAGGCGUAGGCGGAUAUCUGGACAGUACCUGACGCUCAGGCACGAAGGCCGGGGGAGCAAACAGG